AUUGAACGCUGGCGGCAGGCUUAACACAUGCAAGUCGAGCGAGCGGCGGACGGGUGAGUAAUGUCUGGGAAACUGCCUGAUGGAGGGGGAUAACUACUGGAAACGGUAGCUAAUACAGCAUAUCAUCAAAUGUGCCCAGAUGGGAUUAGCUAGUAGGUGGGGUAAUCGCUCACCUAGGCGACGAUCCCUAGCUGGUCUGAGAGGAUGACGAGGCACACUGGAACUGAGACACGGUCCAGACUGCUACGGGAGGCAGCAGAGGGGAAUAUGGCACAAUGGGCGCAAGACUGAUGCAGCCAUGCCGCGUGUGUGAAGAAGGCCUUCGGGUUGUAAAGCACUUUCAGCGAGGAGGCGUUACUCGCAGAAGAAGCACCGGCUAACUCCGUGCCAGCCGCCGCGGUAAUUC
rnacentral:rRNA from 1 species